rnacentral:misc_RNA from 1 species
UGUCUAUGGAAUCAUUUUUUUGCAAUAUCGUCUGCCCUUGCUGAGGUUUGAAGUCGUGGGGUUAGAUAUUGGUGUUGGGAGCGGUCGCCAUGUUACGCAGGUCGUGGUGUUGCGUAGCGUGUGUGGCGUAGUGUGUGGGCGAGCACUCCAGCGGCGGGUGUCCAGGUCCUCCCGUCUGGAGUGACUUAGAGCCGGUAGCGUGUGCACUCUAGUUCCCGUUGUGGUGUGAAGCCAGGAGGCGCAGAGUUAAUGGCUGGGCAUCACCAUGGGUGCCCCAUGUCCUCAUCAGUACAUCAUAGACAAAAAUUUCAGUGCCAGACUUCUAGCUGAGAAAAGAGAGGUCACAUGUGAAUGGUGUGGUGCUGCAGGCUCGAGCCUAAGGUUGUGUUUAUACUCGGGGUGCCUGCGAGUUGGGUGUGGCGAGGGCCGCGCUGACCACUCCACCUUCCACAACAACCAGUUUCCCUCUCACUGUAUCACCUUAAAUUUAACUUCCUUACGAUCAUGGUGCUACAUGUGUGAAAUGGAGGUAACUUCGUCUGUCAUGGCAAGUCUCAGCAUACCACCAGGCCAACAGCAGCAUUUAGGAGGGCCAAUCAGUGCUCCUGGUGUGGCUGUUGCUCAGCCAAUCACACCUAGUCAGUCUAGUGCUGAAGAUGAUGAUGAUGACGAAGAUGAAGGAGAAGAGGUGAAAGCCAAAGGAUUGGUUGGUCUGCGCAACCUGGGCCUUACUUGCUACAUGAACUCAGCUCUUCAGGCAAUGAGCAACUCUGUUCCUCUAGCUCAGUUUAUGAUUGAAUGUCCAGCAUUCUUACGCAAUGAUAGAAAAUCUCCUGGCCUUUCUCGACCUUUUCAGAGAUUAAUGGUCGAGAUGUGGCAUAAAAAAAGACCAAGUUUUGUCACUCCAUCUCUGCUUUACCAUGGAUUCAAACAGUUAUACCCAAUGUUUCGUGGGUACACACAGCAGGAUUCUCAGGAGUUUCUUCGAUACUUCAUGGAUCAGCUUCAUGAGGAACUUCGAGAGCCUCGGGUAAUGUCACAUGAGGAUGAAGAGAGGGAAAUUGAAGAUGAGGAAGACCUGUCAACAGGGAGCCUCUCAGAGCGGGAGGAAUCACAGUCCGAAGCAGAGUAUGAGACAUGCGAUUCAGGGGUAUCAGAGCAGUCCUCGGAGUCAUCGGAUCACCACCCCAGCAAGAGAAAGAAGCGGCAGCAUGUGGGGGUGGACAUGGAAAGUGGAAUCACUCUAAGGAAUAGCAAUCGGAGUCUUCUUUUGCCUGAUCACGAGACAAGUGAAUUCUCCGAUGCUGUGUCAGAUACCACUCUUCUUGACUCGGACUCGGCUGGUGGCAUAUCUUCCUCCGCUUCUCCUCAAGUUCACUCCUCCCUAACAAGUGGUCUUGGCUCCAGUAAGCCAUCUAUAUCAUCUAUCACAUCAUCAUUUAGAGCUACAACAUCCCCUCCCCCAGGCAAAGCCUCCACAAACACUACUAACAAUCCCAACCGAAGAAGAAAGCCGCCUUCGUACCGCAGCGUCAUCUCGGAUAUCUUUGAUGGAACCAUUGUCAGUUCAGUGCAGUGCUUAACCUGUAAUACGAUAUCCUCAAGAAAAGAAACAUUCCAGGACUUAAGUUUGCCUAUCCCUAGCAGCGACCAACUAAGCAUCCUGCAGCACUCGUCUGUUACCCAACUACAGCAGGUGGGAGUAACCAACACCAGCAGCCUCCACCUUGCCAAGGCCUCGUGUGAUACAGCAACAGAUGGGUGGAUGUGGUGGAUCUGGGUAUGGCUGCGAUCAUGGCUGUGGGGACCGGCAGUCUCCCUCCAUCAUUGCCUUGCAGCCUUCUUCAGUGCAGAUGAACUUAAAGGAGAUAAUAUGUAUUCGUGUGAAAAGUGUGGUAAACUACGUAAUGGGGUCAAAUAUUCUAAAGUUUUGAAACUACCAGAGGUGCUUAUAAUCCACCUGAAAAGGUUCCGGCAUGAAACAAUGUUCAGUUCAAAAAUCAGCCAGUAUGUGUCAUUUCCGCUUCAUGGCUUAGAUCUCACACAAUUCCUUCACAAAGAUUGUGCAUCUGAGGUGGUAACAUAUGAUCUGUAUGCUAUUAUCUGUCACCAUGGCACUGCAGGAGGUGGUCAUUACACCUCAUAUUGUCAAAACUGGAGCAAUCACCGCUGGUAUGAGUUUGAUGAUCAGUAUGUUACUGAAGUCUCUCCGGAAACUGUUGCCAAAUGUGAAGCAUAUGUUUUAUUCUACAAAAAGACAAGUACGGAGAUGACAUCACGGCGCCAAAGAACUGUCGAACUUAUGCAGGUGUCUUCAAGGGAGCCUUCACUGAUGCAGUUCUAUAUAUCAAAACAGUGGGUUAAUAAGUUUAACACUUUCUCGGAGCCAGGACCCAUCGAUAACUGUGACUUCUUGUGCCCACAUGGAGGAGUACAACCACAAAAGGCAAGCUAUGUAGGAGAGCUGGUGAUGCUUCUCAACCAAGGUGUUUGGGAGUACCUACAUCAAGUAUUUGGUGGGGGCCCUGCUUGUACGCGCUUGUACGAGUGUGUUACUUGUCGCGCUGAACUUGAUGCCCUCUCACAUCGUCAGAGUAGCGAGCUCGAGAUGUUUUUCAAACUGAAAAAGAUGUUCCAAGAAGAGGAACACCCGAACAUUGUAGCAAUCUCCAUGAGGUGGUUCCGUACGUGGGAGAGCUUUGUGCGAGGACGGGAACAAGAACCACCGGGUCCCAUUGAUAAUUCUUCUAUAUGUACAAGUAAAACUGGUCAGCCAAUGCUCAAGCCAGGUUCAGAUUAUGCACAGAUCUCUGAAGAAAUGUGGGACUUUUUUCAUGAAACAUAUGGAGGUGGUCCAGAGUUGUCUGUGAUGUAUGGUAACCCACAUGGUCCGACCAGACGAUCAGAUCGGGCAGAAGGAUCACGCUCAGAAAGUCAGAAGUCAGAGCAGCUUCAGCCAAGUUCCCGGUCACAAAGUACGGAUACGCUUCCAUACAGUGGUACUGGUGCAAAUCGACAAAGAACCAUUUCUGCUGGUGAGACUUCCGUAUGAAGCUCCUUCAGCCUGUUGAUGUAACACAACACUACAAUACCAUGCAGCUGUCAAGAGCCACCACCACUUCAUAAUUUUUCUUCACAUCAAUAGAAACUAACUGGUUGUUACUCAUCAUGAUGGCAAUAUGAGCAUUUGGAUAAACUUCCAAGCAGGAAGGCAUAAAACUUCAUGAAAUGUUAUGAGGAUGGCUCCGACACACUGCUCAAAGGUCAAUGAAAGUGAGAGCUUGCCUGAGGCAAAGUCAGCUGACAGGACGGAAGAAAUCAGAAAAGACGAUAAUGAACCGAGACAGACAAGCCCUAUAGAAGAG